rnacentral:rRNA from 1 species
CCUACGGGUGGCAGCAGUGAGGAAUAUUGGUCAAUGGGCGUAAGCCUGAACCAGCCAAGUCGCGUGAGGGAUGAAGGUUCUAUGGAUCGUAAACCUCUUUUAUAAGGGAAUAAAGUGCGGGAUGUGUCCCGUUUUGUAUGUACCUUAUGAAUAAGGAUCGGCUAACUCCGUGCCAGCAGCAGCGGUAAUAAGGAGGAUUCGAGCGUUAUCCGGAUUUAUUGGGUUUAAAGGGUGCGUAGGCGGCCUUUUAAGUCAGCGGUGGACGUCUGUAGCUCAACCCUCGAAUUGCCGUGGAAACUGGGAGGCUUGAGUGUGUUUGAGGCAGGCGGAAUGCGUGGUGUAGCGGUGAAAUGCUUAGAUAUCACGAAGAACCCCGAUUGCGAAGGCAGCCUGCCAAGCCAUGACUGACGCUGAUGCACGAAAGCGUGGGGAUCAAACAGGAUUAGAUACCCUAGUAGUC